GCUUAGCCCUGAUAGAAGUGGAAAUCCUUUUUUAGGAUUAUCCUGUAGCGUUAGCGAAAGGAAAAUCCUAAAAAAGAUUGCAACGUAUAGCAGGAAUAGCU
rnacentral:sRNA from 1 species